rnacentral:rRNA from 1 species
CCUANGGGGGGCAGCAGUGGGGAAUUUUGGACAAUGGGCGCAAGCCUGAUCCAGCCAUGCCGCGUGCGGGAAGAAGGCCUUCGGGUUGUAAACCGCUUUUGUCAGGGAAGAAACGGUCUGCACUAAUACUGCGGACUAAUGACGGUACCUGAAGAAUAAGCACCGGCUAACUACGUGCCAGCAGCCGCGGUAAUACGUAGGGUGCAAGCGUUAAUCGGAAUUACUGGGCGUAAAGCGUGCGCAGGCGGCUUUGCAAGACAGAUGUGAAAUCCCCGGGCUUAACCUGGGAACUGCAUUUGUGACUGCAAGGCUGGAGUGCGGCAGAGGGGGAUGGAAUUCCGCGUGUAGCAGUGAAAUGCGUAGAUAUGCGGAGGAACACCGAUGGCGAAGGCAAUCCCCUGGGCCUGCACUGACGCUCAUGCACGAAAGCGUGGGGAGCAAACAGGAUUAGAUACCCCGNUANUC